rnacentral:tRNA from 1 species
UGUAUUAUAGUUUAUAAAAACAUUAGGGUGCAAACUUAAAAAUAUUUAAUUUAAAUUAAUAUAU